UCCCCUCCAGAGUAGCAUUGGAGGGCAGUCUGGUGCCAGCAGCCGCGGUAAUUCCAGCUCCAAUAGCGUAUAUUAAACUUGUUGCAGUUAAAAAGCUCGUAGUUGAAUUUUAGCGUGUUCGAGUUUGCCAUUCGUUUGGCUUUUUCGAGUUCGCUUUUGGGUUUUCCCUUUUUACUUUGAGAAAAUUAGAGUGUUUCAAGCAGACUUUUGUCUUGAAUACUUCAGCAUGGAAUAAUAGAGUAGGACUUUGGUUCUAUUUUGUUGGUUAUUGAACCUUAGUAAUGGUUAAUAGGAACGGUUGGGGGCAUUCGUAUUUAACUGUCAGAGGUGAAAUUCUUAGAUUUGUUAAAGACGAACUACUGCGAAAGCAUUUGCCAAGGACGUUUCCAUUAAUCAAGAACGAAAGUUAGGGGAUCGAAGACGAUCAGAUACCGUCGUAGUCCUAACCAUAAACCAUGCCGACUAGUGAUUGGAGGUCGUCGUUUUGCUGACCCCUUCAGGAACUUGAGAGAAAUAAAGGCUCCUUUGGAA
rnacentral:rRNA from 1 species